UCCUCAUGCGCAAUCAUCUUCUACACCACCAACUACCGGCGUAACACGCAGUCUUGUACACGUUAGCAUUACCGCCACACUCUGAUCAGAAAACCCUAGUUUUGUUGCUCGAAGUCUGAAAUUUAAUGUUUUCGAGAUUUAUUCUCUUUUGGUGAUACGAUGAUGGGUUCAGAGAGUAAUCAGGGUUUCGAGGAGGCCCACUUAUACGCCUCGCGGGAAGAAAUGGUGAAUCUCGUACUCGACGAACCCUUGAACAACGGGACAAGUAGCAAAGCGUACUCUAAUUAUCGGAGUGCGAUGUCAGCGAUGGCUGAGACACACCAUCCGUUGUCUCCGCCGACCGGCACUGCUCCUCCGGACUCCGAUCCACUGCUGUUGCCCCCGCCUUAUCGCGAUCUCCAGAACCUUAACGUCCCUGCGACUUCCUCCUACAUCGAGCCUCCUGCUUAUGCCGACGUCAUUUUCAGUUCGUUUGAUGAGAACUCCGUCAAUGAAAUCAAUGGGGUCGAUAGUCCCUCUCGGAGUGAUAGUUCCCUUUCCUUCUCGAGAUCCCCGUCCUCCAGUUCCGACUACAUCAAAAUCACUGUAUCAAAUCCGCAGAAAGAGCAAGAGACCACGAAUACGCUCGUGCCAGGAGGUAAUACGUACAUGACGUAUCUGAUUACUACCAGGACGAACAUUCCUGAGUUUGGCGGAUCUGAAUUUAGCGUGAGGAGAAGGUUCAGAGACGUGGUGACAAUAUCCGAUCGGCUAGCGGAGGCAUAUCGCGGGUUUUUCAUUCCUCCAAGGCCGGACAAGAAUGUGGUGGAGAGCCAAGUUAUGCAGAAGCAGGAGUUCGUGGAGCAGAGGAGGGUGGCAUUGGAGAAGUACCUGAGGAGGCUGGCGGCUCAUCCAGUGAUAAGGAAGGGCGACGAGCUAAUGGUGUUUUUGCAGGUCCAGGGAAAGCUGCCUCUGCCCACGACCACUGAUGUUGCUUCGAGGAUGCUCGAUGGUGCUGUAAAGCUGCCUAAGCAGUUGUUAGGGGAGAGCCCUGCAGUUGUAGCACCCCACGAGGUGGUUCAGCCGGCGAAAGGAGGGAGAGACCUGUUGAGGCUUUUUAAGGAGUUGAAGCAGUCGGUUUCCAACGAUUGGGGUGGUUCGAGGCCAUCUGUUGUGGAGGAAGAUAAGGAGUUUAUGGAGAAGAAAGAGAAAAUGCAAGAUCUGGAGCAACAUCUCAGCAAUGCUUCCCAGCAGGCAAUUUAUCUACUUGCUGAAUCGCUAGUGAAGGCACAGCAAGAUAUGGGGGAAACAGUGGGAGAAUUAGGGCUAGCUUUUAUUAAACUUACUAAAUUUGAGAAUGAAGAAGCGGUAUUCAACUCUCAAAGAGUACGUGCAGUGGAUAUGAAGAAUUUAGCAACUGCUGCAGUCAAAGCUAGCAGAUUCUAUCGGGAACUAAAUGCACAGACUGUCAAGCAUUUGGAUACACUCCAUGAGUAUCUUGGGCUGAUGUUAUCAGUCCAGAGUGCUUUCUCGGAGCGCUCAAGUGCCUUAUUGACAGUACAGACUCUUCUCUCAGAAUUGUCUUCAUUGCAGUCAAGGGCUGAGAAACUAGAAGCUGCAUCAUCAAAGAUAUUUGGUGGUGACAAGUCAAGGAUUCGAAAGAUGGAGGAGUUAAAAGAAACGUUAAGAAUCACUGAGGAUGCUAAAAAUGUGGCUAUCAGAGAAUAUGAGCGGAUCAAGGAAAAUAAUAGGAGUGAACUGGAAAGGCUCAACUCAGAGAGGUGUGAGGACUUUUCAAACAUGUUGAGAGGCUUUGUGCUUAAUCAGGUAUUGUUCUCUUCGUGUUCAUAGAGAAUAACCCUAGUUGUCUGGAAACAUGACUUUUCUUUGUAAACAUAAUUUAUGCUGAUGAAGCUAUCUUUCACCUCCAUAUCUUAUGCAUCUUUUUUUACCAGUUUCUGAGUAAUCUUGGGCGUUUAAAAGUAAAGAAACACAAUGUUUGUAAGAGGAGUCGCUUCUUGCUGUUUAGGUUGUGAGUUUCAAAUCUAAACGAAAUUAAGAGUUAGGCCUAGAGAAUUAGUUGGGAUUGAACGAGAAACUACAGUCUUGGUUACAUGCUUCUUCUUGAAAGCUUUCAUGGUUAUUUUGAUUGCUAUUGUAACUUCUUUUAAGCGCCAGUGGGCAAGUACAUACUGCAACUACAAAUGUGGAGGCCAUAUCUCUAGCGUCCCUUUUUUUUGAAAUCUCUCUAGCCUCUUUUUUCUUAAUUACUCUAGCGCCUUUUUUCUUAAUCUCUCUAGCUUUUUAAAAAUCUUAUAUUUCCUUGUGUGACCACACAUCCAACUCUCCUACAUGCAUUUCUCAGAUAUAAACAUAUAAAAAAAUGCAUAUAUCAAAGAUAUGAAUGUUUCGUUGGAUGUGUGGCCACACGAGAAAAUAUAUGAUAAAAAAAAACACUCUUAGAUUUAAGGUAUAGAACUGGUACCAAUUGAAGAUAAGUUGAGAGUAAACCAUUUAAGAUUGCAUGAUCAUGUAUAAUGUAGAGAUAGCGGUGUGACAGUUAGAAGAAUCAUGAGAAUUUGAAUAGGAGAGAGUAGGAAGUCAAGAUGCAAACUUAAAAAGACAUGAUUUGAAGUUGUUAGAAAGAAUAAUAAUUGAAUAAGAGUGGAUGAAAUUAUGAUCUUGAUAGAAAUAAAUAACAUAGUUGAAUACAUGUAGUGGAUUUUCGUUGAUUUUUUCAUAGAUUCAUUUAGCUGACCCCAAAUUUUUGGGAUAAAGGCUACCCUCCUUGUAAUUCCUCUUGUGCACCACCUUGGUGCUUAAAAAGUUUAAUUUCCAUGCAAAAAAAAAAAAA